AUUGAACGCUGGCGGCAGGCCUAACACAUGCAAGUCGAGCGGAAACGAUCCUAGCUUGCUAGGAGGCGUCGAGCGGCGGACGGGUGAGUAACGCGUGAGAAUCUACCCAUGAGUGGGGGACAACCCGGGGAAACUCGGGCUAAUACCGCAUACGCCCUACGGGGUAAAGCAGGGGACCUUCGGGCCUUGCGCUGAUGGAUGAGCUCGCGUCGGAUUAGCUUGUUGGUGAGGUAAAGGCUCACCAAGGCGACGAUCCGUAGCUGGUCUGAGAGGAUGGUCAGCCACACCGGGACUGAGACACGGCCCGGACUCCUACGGGAGGCAGCAGUGGGGAAUCUUGGACAAUGGGGGCAACCCUGAUCCAGCCAUGCCGCGUGUGUGAAGAAGGCCUUCGGGUUGUAAAGCACUUUCAGCAGGGAGGAAGGCUUACCCCUAAUACGGGUGAGUACUUGACGUUACCUGCAGAAGAAGCACCGGCUAAUUUCGUG
rnacentral:rRNA from 1 species